UACGUAGGUGACAAGCGUUGUCCGGAUUUACUGGGCGUAAAGGGCGCGUAGGCGGUUCGUUAAGUCCUGUGUGAAAUCCCCCGGCUCAACUGGGGAACUGCACAGGAAACUAGCGGGCUUGAGUUCGGGAGAGGGAAGCGGAAUUCCGGGUGUAGCGGUGAAAUGCGUAGAUAUCCGGAGGAACACCGGUGGCGAAGGCGGCUUCCUGGACCGACACUGACGCUGAGGCGCGAAAGCUAGGGGAGCAAACGGG
rnacentral:rRNA from 1 species